UUGAAUCAAGCGUCACUAUUAAAAAUGGCAUUAGAAAGCUCAGGUGGUGCUACGGCGAAAAUAACUAAAUAUAGCUGCAAAUAUAACAACAGCUGGACGGAGGAAUUUAAUUUCUUAUCACGAAGCAGCAUCGACAAUUCCCACGCUUUUUGCAAAGUAUGUCGCACUGAUUUCAGUAUCGGACCUGGUGGGAAAAACAACGUAACACAGCACAAUAAAUCACAACGGCACAAUCGUGCUGUGGAGGCACAAAGGGGCACACCGGCGAUUUCAAACUUUAUCACUAAGGGAUGGACAGAGGCAGAAACCGUAUUACAGAGUGAAUUAAAAAUGGCAAUGUUGAUUGCAAAAAAAACCAUUCCAUUUUCUUUUUGCGAUGAAUUCAAUGCUAGUGUGGCAGGCAUGUUCCCGGAUUCUGCCAUAGCUAGAAAAUACUCCUCUGGAAAGACUAAAACAACUCAGCUUCUUAAAGGUAAGUUCAUCUGUCUACGUUAAUUAAUGUUUACUAAUAAAACCUAUUGUAAAGUGUUACCAUGGUAUUUAUAUGCUGUACAGUUUUUUUUUUUUUUUUAAAUAGCAACAUUUUAUGUUUCACAUUAUUUUCAAAAUUCACAUUAAUGAAGAUCUACAUUUCUCAGUUCUAUUCAUGGUGAAAACGUGAAACGUGCCAUAGUUUAGUGGAAGAUUGCUGCCAUCUACUGGAAAACAAAAUCUUUUGAAAGUGCUCAGUGAAAAGUUUGUGCAUGAAUGUAGGCCUAAUCACUCUUGUUAUUUGUGUUUAGGCUGUAAUGUGGCUUAGGUGUUAUUUUGUAUAAUUUAACCAUCCAUAUAUAAGCCUAUAAAAAAUAAAUAAAUAAAAUCAUGAACACAAUUACUGUGUGCAAUGGGCUAUCAAGGGGCACCAUAGAAAAUCUUGCCUAGGCUGGCCCUGUCUAUUAAUGCUAGAUUUACAAUGUGUUAGCCUUUUGACAGAAACUAAAACAAAACACACACUUUAAUACAUCAUCAUCUUAUUCUUUUUUUAUCUAUAUCAUCGCCAUCUUUGACCACUUCUUUUUCUUCUUAUUAUUAUUUGUUAGGUGCCAUUGCCCAGAGCUUGAUGAUGAGGUCAAAAAAAUCUGCCAGACCCAGCCAUUUGGAUUGCUUUGUGAUGAGUCAAACAACAUGCAGACAGAAAAAGAACUAGUUAUACUGGCAAGAGUGUGUGAUGAGAACAGUCUUGAGGGUGUGACCAAAUUUACUGACAUGCCAGUCUGCAAUGUGGGUACAGCAGAAAUAUUUAUGAGAAGCUGGAAACCUCUUUGAGAAAUGGAGGAAUCCCAUGGGAUAACCUGGUGGCCUUCAACUCUGACAACUGCAGCGUGAUGAAAGGAAAGCACCAUUCAGUCAUCACCAAACUAAGAGCUAGUCAACCUUAUGUUCAGGAUGUGGGUUGCAUAUGCCACCUUGCUCAACUUGUCACAGGCUGUGGCGUGAAGGCCAUCAAGAGGAGGAUUUACUGGGUGGUGUGUAUAGCCACUUCCACAAAAGUGCCAAGAGAAGUGAGGUGUAUAAAGAGUUUGUGGAGUUCACAGACACAGACAAGCUAAAUCUUCUCAGAUACUGCAGUACUCGAUGGCUCAGCCUCCACACAUGCAUAGAAAGAGUGCUCAAUCAAUGGGCUGCUCUGCAGGCUUACUUUAGUAGUCAUGAGGAUGAGAGGAGUGCUAAAAUCAGGAACCUAGCAGGCUGCUUCAGUGAUCCUGAGAUCAAGUUCUAUUUUCUGUUUCUGAGUGCCGCUCUUAAGCCAUUGGUUGCAUUCAACACUGCCUUCCAGGUAGGUAGAAUGAAUGGUGAAGACCAAGCAUUAUAUAUACAUAAAACAAACAUUUUUUUUUUUUUUUUUUAAGUUUACCCAUGUUUGCCCAAUAGGCAGAGGGAGUGAUGAUCCAUAAGCUACACAGUGAGAUGACAAGACUGGUCAAGAGAUACUUGGGCUACAUUGUUCCAGCUAGAUUAAUUGUGGAUAUUCCAAUCAGUGAAGUAUCAUAUGGACAUGAACACCAACUGGCGAAUGAGGAUCUCUUCAUUGGGGCUGAGGCCAGAGCAUUCCUUGAAAAUGAAGAACUGUCCUCCAUGUUAAUGACCAAAAUAUAUCAUUAAGUUGUAACUUCAGUAAUAAUAAUGCCUGCAUGCUUCAUUUGUCUUUCUUCAUGAUUCCUUGUUAAUAUGUGAUUCUGUCAUAAUUGUGCUCUUAGAACAGUGAGGGCUUUCUAUGUGGAAGUCAUUGGGAAGAUGCUGAAGGUCUUUCCCUUAGACUCACAGCUGCUCUGUGACCUGAAGGUGUUAGACCCAGCCUCUCGCCUGGACAUCUCUCCUGACACAGGUUGACCUUGUUUGUGAUUUACCUACCCCCUCAAAUAAUCCUAUUAUUGUAAGAAUACCAGCUCUGUACAUUUAACUAUGAAGUAUUUAACCUAACUGAUAAUGUGUUGGAAAUCUGUCCAUACCACACAGUGACAAGGCUAGGUUGCGUGUUUCAACAACUGAGGCUUGAUCCAAAUAAACUGAGAGAGGAGUUCACAGACUACCAGGUCACAGACAGCAAGGAGUUAAUCCAGGAAGAGAGAGUGGACAGAUUCUGGGGCCUUGUAGGGAAAAGUGAGACUGAGACCAGGUUUAGUCAGCUGGCUAGUCUGAUGAAGGCACUACUUUGCAUUCCUCAUAGUAAUGCCUCCUCAGAGAGAACCUUUAGCAUGGUCAGAAAGAUCCAGAAAAUCGAAUGAGCAUGAAUAAUAGCACACUCUGUGCUCGCUUGUGCUGCAAAAUCAACUAUACAAAACCUGCAGAGUACACUCCCUCCAGAGGGGUACUUAUAGCAGCAAAGUGUGCUACUUACAAUUAUAAUUCUGGAUGUAAGAAACGCUAGGAAACACCUUCAUGUUAAAUACAUGAAGUACAUGAAAUUUUUUG